rnacentral:rRNA from 1 species
GUCCACGCCGUAAACGAUGAGUGCUAGGCGUCGGCAUGCAUGCAUGUCGGUGCCGCAGCUAACGCGUGAAGCACUCCGCCUGGGGAGUACGGUCGCAAGAUUAAAAACUCAAAGGAAUUGACGGGGGCCCGCACAAGCGGUGGAGCAUGUGGUUUAAUUCGACGCAACGCGCAGAACCUUACCAGCCCUUGACAUCCCGUGACCGGCUCAGAGAUGGGUUUUCCCCGCAAGGGGCACGGAGACAGGUGCUGCAUGGCUGUCGU